UCAAAAUUCACAAAUCCAACAAAAAACUCAACUUUUAUAAUCCAAUCUGUAAAACCCAGCAGCAACCGACUUACUUGUUCCCUUCACAGUUCACCACAAAACUCAAUCUGCUCUUUUCACUGCAGAAUUCCAUUGGUAAUUUUAAUAAUUUCUGCAAAGUUAUUUUAUUUCAGCAUCUAAAUUGUUUCUUCAUUCUCUGCUCAAAACCAAGAUUUCCAAAUUCAUACAUGCAUACAUCAUCAAAUCUAUCAUUUAUAUUUAAUAUGAAAUCAAAUAGAAUUCAUAUCCAUAGUUUAACAGAGAAAGAAUUAUGAAAAACCUAGACUGAUAAAGGGGAGUUGGACUGAAAUUUGGGGGAGGAGUUGGUGCAGAGGCGGUGGCAGGGAGACGUAGGGGCGAUGUACGGCGAGAGAUGAAGCAGGGGCAGCGGCACCGUGGUUUCUGCCGCUGCUGUGUAUUUCCGGUCGGGGCGGAGGGAAGGCGCCUGGGCAGCGCCGCUGUCGACGCGGGGGCGGCGAUGGUGGUGCUGCUGUUGGCCAAGAGAGAGAAGGGAGGCGGUGGCUAGGCGGCGCUGCUGUCGACGUGGGAACGACGAUGGCCGCCGCUGCUGCCGGCCGAAGGAGAGAUGGAGGGAGGUGUAGACACGGUGGUGAGGUCGCUGGAGAGAGAGGCAACGAAGAGAGGGAGAGUGAGGGCGAGAGGAGGCAGAGCCGCUGACCUCCGGCGGCUGGCUGCCGUCCGGUGGCGGCGGCAGGGGGAGGCCGAGGGAGAGAGGGAGAAGGGGAAAGGGAGCCUGCGUGAAUGGUGAAGUGGGGUGAGCUGCGUAUUUUGUAUUUGUGUGGUGGAAGUGAGAGUUAAAUUAGGGAUUUAAGAGAGAGAGAAUAAAUUUGGGCUCAAGGGUAGGCUAAAGCUUUAAUUGGGGCUUAAUUUAUUAAAUAAGUUGGGCUUAAUUCUAUUUUUAAUAUGGCUGCAUUUACAUAUAUUUUUACAAUGAUAUUAUUAAACUUUAUAUUUCAAUUUACAUUAUUAAUUUAAAUUUAGUUUUCAUUAAAUAUUGAGCCCAAAUAUUUUUAUAAGAAAAGCUCUUUUAUAAUCUAUUAGACCAAUGAUUUUUAAAUGGCUUUAUGAUAAUAAAUUCUUAAGAUUUAAAUUACUAUUAUUAUUAUUUUUUUUAAGUUCAAAUAGGCCCUUAUGUUAAUUAUUUGAAUUUAUCUGACUAGGUGCGGCGCGACUAGGACGUGAACUUUAAAUUCUUGCAGUUAAUUUUCAAAGCUCAAAAGUUCAAGUUUCAGGUGUGGGAUUUAUUUCAGUACAUGCACGUGGUUAAUAUUUGUCCAUUUUAAUAUUAUGUGUUUACCGUAUGUGUUGUAAAAAUAUUUAUCGCUAGGGGCCAGCAUAAUUGGUCCAGGACUUCACCGUCCUUGGUAUGCCACAAAGCGAUUUCAUGUUACAGGGUUGCAACCAUUAUAUUGUCGCCAGGGGCCCACAUAUAGGGUCCGGGACAUUAAAGUCCUUGGAUUGCCACAGUGCGUAUGGAAGUUAUGUUACGUUAUGACAAUAUGUGUUACCAUUUUAUUAACAUGGACAAUUAUUGCAUGUUCCCACACUGAGUGUACCCUGUAUGCUCAUCCCAUAUUCAACAGUUUCAGGUGAUUGAUAUCGGAGGCGCGUGGAGAGUCGAAUGGGCGCGUCGAAUCUAUUUAAAGAUAAAUGUUUCCUAAAACAUAUUAUGUUAUUUCAUGUGAUAUCUCUUGAUUAUGUAAACUCUGAAAUUCUAUACUAUUUGAGAUUUGUGUGUGAUUUGUUUAAAUAAAUGUUAUUAUAUUAUUUUAAUGUCAUGACUUGUU
rnacentral:lncRNA from 1 species